rnacentral:rRNA from 1 species
UACGUAGGGGGCAAGCGUUGUCCGGAAUCAUUGGGCGUAAAGCGCGUGUAGGCGGUCCGGUAAGUCCGCUGUGAAAGUCGGGGGCUUAACCCUCGGAUGCCGGUGGAUACUGUCGGGCUUGAGUACGGAAGAGGCGAGUGGAAUUCCUGGUGUAGCGGUGAAAUGCGCAGAUAUCAGGAGGAACACCGGUGGCGAAGGCGGUUCUCUGGGCCUUACCUGACGCUGAGGAGCGAAAGCGUGGGGAGCAAACAGG